CAGUAGCCGCGGUAAUACAGAGGGUGCGAGCGUUAAUCGGAUUUACUGGGCGUAAAGCGUGCGUAGGCGGUGAGUUAAGUCUGCUGUGAAAUCCCCGGGCUCAACCUGGGAAUGGCAGUGGAUACUGGCUCGCUAGAGUGUGUCAGAGGAUGGUGGAAUUCCCGGUGUAGCGGUGAAAUGCGUAGAGAUCGGGAGGAACAUCAGUGGCGAAGGCGGCCAUCUGGGACAACACUGACGCUGAGGCACGAAAGCGUGGGGAGCAAACAGGAUUAGAUACCCCUGUAGUCCCUGUCUCUUAUAC
rnacentral:rRNA from 1 species